AACAGGAUUAGAUACCCUGGUAGUCCACGCUGUAAACGAUGUCGACUUGGAGGUUGUGCCCUUGAGGCGUGGCUUCCGGAGCUAACGCGUUAAGUCGACCGCCUGGGGAGUACGGCCGCAAGGUUAAAACUCAAAUGAAUUGACGGGGGCCCGCACAAGCGGUGGAGCAUGUGGUUUAAUUCGAUGCAACGCGAAGAACCUUACCUACUCUUGACAUCCAGAGAAUUUGCUAGAGAUAGCUUAGUGCCUUCGGGAACUCUGAGACAGGUGCUGCAUGGCUGUCGUCAGCUCGUGUUGUGAAAUGUUGGGUUAAGUCCCGCAACGAGCGCAACCCUUAUCCUUUGUUGCCAGCACGUAAUGGUGGGAACUCAAAGGAGACUGCCGGUGAUAAACCGGAGGAAGGUGGGGAUAACGUCAAGUCAUCAUGGCCCUUACGAGUAGGGCUACACACGUGCUACAAUGGCAUAUACAAAGAGAAGCGAACUCGCGAGAGCAAGCGGACCUCAUAAAGUAUGUCGUAGUCCGGAUUGGAGUCUGCAACUCGACUCCAUGAAGUCGGAAUCGCUAGUAAUCGUAGAUCAGAAUGCUACGGUGAAUACGUUCCCGGGCCUUGUACACACCGCCCGUCACACCAUGGGAGUGGGUUGCAAAAGAAGUAGGUAGCUUAACCUUCGGGAGGGCGCUUACCACUUUGUGAUUCAUGACUGGGGUGAAGUCGUAACAAGGUAACC
rnacentral:rRNA from 1 species